ACCCUCUCAGGAUUGCAGCUGGAAAGUUUCCAGGACUUUACCAGUCUCUGUUUAGGAAGGGAGAGUCAAGCAGAGGUAUACCCAUUCCAUUCCUAGCUUGGGCAGUGGCUAGCGAGUGGAAGGCAAUCUGCUACAAGU